AUGAACGUAACAAUAAGCAAUAGGGUAAGAGAAUGCCAUGGAGCUUGCCCUCGCGCCGAGGUACCCAUGUUCUGUUCUGCGCCCGGCUGGUGGCGACGAAGCUGCCCAACUACUGCGGGUGACUGGCAGCGUUCGUGCCGGAGAUGCUGCCGGGCCCGAGCUACAACGCGGAGAAGAUCUUCGACACGGUGGUGUGGCAGACGCGGUGCCACCUCACCAGUUGCAGGAACAAGGACGAGAUCCUGGCGAGGCUCCACAAGAUCGAGGCCGACAAGCAGAAGUACACGGAGGGCGUGGAGCAGCACCAUCGCGGAGAAGGCAGCACUGCUGGGCGGGCAGCUAGGGGCGGCCCUGGGCCAGGAUUACAGGCGGCGGUGGGCGGUGCUGGGCAAGUUCUUGGAGGAGCUACUGCUGUUCCUCGCGCCGACGGACAACGUGGACAUCCACACCGAGGUGCUCGGCACCGGUGACGAGUUCAUGAUGCCGCUAUGGGUGCUGCUCGCCCACGUCGCUGGUGAUGUCAUCGAAUUCUUCCGGUGCCUCGUCCACGGAGGGGCGCCGGCUCAACUGGUGGGUUUCCUCAAGGCCGGCCCGGAGGAUGCCCUGGUGCACUACUACCCCAUGGCUGGUCGCCUGCAGGAGCUCCCACACGGGAAGAAGCUAGUGGUGGACUGCACGGCGGAGGUGGUGGUGUUCGUGGAGGCGUACGCCACGUGCGGCUGGAGGAAUUCGCCAAGCCGCUGGUGCCACCAUACCCCUGCGUUGACGAGCUCAUGUGCGAUGUGGGUGAUACGGGAGCUAUCGUCAGCAAGCCGUUGCUCUAGAAACUAA
rnacentral:rRNA from 1 species